GCAGACAUGUUGAGAUUCUUCUUCUUUCUGAGAAAACAUGCAGUAGUGCUUUAAUUUAGUAGCCAUUGUCUGGUCUUUAGCCCUUUCCUGUUUUUGAAUUAGUUGUUUCAGUUUCAUGUUAAAAAAAUCGUUGUUUCAGCUUGACUGAGCAGUGCAAGUAGAUUUUUUUCCUCUGAUGAAAAAUACAUAGUGAGGACAUUAGAUGUGUCUUGUACAUGCAUGUUUUGCUGCUCAUAUUGGUGCUUACUGUUUCAUAGCAGUGGUUUUAGAUAACUAGGUGUUUUGUUUUUUUCACCAGCCUUUGGACAGCCUUUUGGAGAGCCUCUGGAUUGCCCUUGGACAUCCUUUGGUCAACCACCUCUGCAUCACCUCAUAUCCUUUCAUCCAUCCAUCCAUCCAUCUGUUUUGUGUACCUUGUUCGCUCUCUCUCUCUCUCUCUCUCUCUCUCUCCCUGUGUUUGUCGGUCUCUCUUGUGCUCUUGUGCUGUCUUCCAGGAUGCCUCGGAAGGGGAGACGCUCCCAGGCCCAGAAGCAGCGCUGGAGGAAGCCGGACGCGUCUGAGAUGCCCACCCCUCCCAUUGACGCACCCCACUGCUCACGCUCUCCCCAGUACAAGAAGGUUGGUUCCACCCUGCCAGCCGGACGGUUCUGGGAAGAGCGGCAGGCGCGUGCAAACUUUAUUGCACGCCGUGGCACCGGUUACCGCCACAAGGUUAAAAAAUGGCCAACUUCACCCUUUACUGGGCGCGACCACAAGUUGGUCAUUCCUCCUGAGCGCCCUGGAAAGAAGUUCAUUCUUCUUGUCGGGGACUCCCAUCUACGUGCUCUUGUAGAUGGCUUUAUUCGGAUGCCAGAGUCCUCGGCUGAGCUUUGGCUUCCUGUCGACUCCGGGGGCCUCUGCUGCGGAAAUUCGCACUGAGGUUCUGCACGCUGCAGUUCCUCGUGCACCUGAUGCCGUCUGCGUGAUGGCCCCUGGCAACAACCUGACCAGCACCACUGUGGAGAGGGCAGGGGUGGAUUUUGCCAAUCUCCUCACCACUUGUGGCAACCGCUGGUCCAAGGUUUUUGUGGUCGACUUUCCUCCCCGCCUGGUCGUUGACGUCCAACACCAGGACCUGCUUCGGCAGGAAUACAGACGUGUGGCUGCUCGUAUGGGUGUAAAGUUCUUCAACGCUGUGGAGCACUUCCCCUGAGCAAUUUGGUGCUGUGGAGCAAGGAUGGUGUCCAUCUGAGUGAUUGUGAGGGGAUGGGGAUCCUCGUCCAGUUGUUCUGGUCCGCUGCCAACGAGCAACUGGGGACACCACUUCCUUCGCCCCGGAUCCCUCCUCAGCCUCCAGUUCGGAAAGCUACACCCGAAUUGGUUGUGAGAGAGAGAUCCCCUGCUCCACCCAGCCCGAAACCCCGUGAGCAGAGGAAAAUGGGUCAGGGCG